ACCCUACGGGACGCAGCAGUGGGGGAUAUUGGACAAUGGGGGGAACCCUGAUCCAGCGACGCCGCGUGAGUGAAGAAGUAUCUCGGUAUGUAAAGCUCUAUCAGCAGGGAAGAAAGAAAUGACGGUACCUGAGUAAGAAGCCCCGGCUAACUACGUGCCAGCAGCCGCGGUAAUACGUAGGGGGCGAGCGUUAUCCGGAUUUACUGGGUGUAAAGGGAGCGUAGACGGUUAUGCAAGUCUGGAGUGAACGGCGGGGGCUCAACCCCCGGACUGCUCUGGAAACUGUCGAACUAGAGUGCAGGAGG
rnacentral:rRNA from 1 species